GACGAACGCUGGCGGCGUGCUUAACACAUGCAAGUCGAACGGAAAGGCCCUGCUUUUGUGGGGUGCUCGAGUGGCGAACGGGUGAGUAACACGUGAGUAACCUGCCCUUGACUUUGGGAUAACUUCAGGAAACUGGGGCUAAUACCGGAUAGGAGCUCCUGCUGCAUGGUGGGGGUUGGAAAGUUUCGGCGGUUGGGGAUGGACUCGCGGCUUAUCAGCUUGUUGGUGGGGUAGUGGCUUACCAAGGCUUUGACGGGUAGCCGGCCUGAGAGGGUGACCGGCCACAUUGGGACUGAGAUACGGCCCAGACUCCUACGGGAGGCAGCAGUGGGGAAUAUUGCACAAUGGGCGGAAGCCUGAUGCAGCAACGCCGCGUGCGGGAUGACGGCCUUCGGGUUGUAAACCGCUUUCGCCUGUGACGAAGCGUGAGUGACGGUAAUGGGUAAAGAAGCACCGGCUAACUACGUGCCAGCAGCCGCGGUGAUACGUAGGGUGCGAGCGUUGUCCGGAUUUAUUGGGCGUAAAGGGCUCGUAGGUGGUUGAUCGCGUCGGAAGUGUAAUCUUGGGGCUUAACCCUGAGCGUGCUUUCGAUACGGGUUGACUUGAGGAAGGUAGGGGAGAAUGGAAUUCCUGGUGGAGCGGUGGAAUGCGCAGAUAUCAGGAGGAACACCAGUGGCGAAGGCGGUUCUCUGGGCCUUUCCUGACGCUGAGGAGCGAAAGCGUGGGGAGCGAACAGGCUUAGAUACCCUGGUAGUCCACGCUGUAAACGGUGGGUACUAGGUGUGGGGUCCAUUCCACGGGUUCCGUGCCGUAGCUAACGCUUUAAGUACCCCGCCUGGGGAGUACGGCCGCAAGGCUAAAACUCAAAGGAAUUGACGGGGCCCCGCACAAGCGGCGGAGCAUGCGGAUUAAUUCGAUGCAACGCGUAGAACCUUACCUGGGUUUGACAUGGAUCGGGAGUGCUCAGAGAUGGGUGUGCCUCUUUUGGGGUCGGUUCACAGGUGGUGCAUGGCUGUCGUCAGCUCGUGUCGUGAGAUGUUGGGUUAAGUCCCGCAACGAGCGCAACCCUUGUUCACUGUUGCCAGCACGUUAUGGUGGGGACUCAGUGGAGACCGCCGGGGUCAACUCGGAGGAAGGUGGGGAUGACGUCAAGUCAUCAUGCCCCUUAUGUCCAGGGCUUCACGCAUGCUACAAUGGCUGGUACAGAGAGUGGCGAGCCUGUGAGGGUGAGCGAAUCUCGGAUAGCCGGUCUCAGUUCGGAUUGGGGUCUGCAACUCGACCUCAUGAAGUCGGAGUCGCUAGUAAUCGCAGAUCAGCAACGCUGCGGUGAAUACGUUCCCGGGGGCU
rnacentral:rRNA from 1 species